GUUUUUUUUUUCACUUUUCUGCAUAUAGGAUAAUUCAUAGGCAUAUAUGUUUAUAUUUACAUACAUACAGCAUGGAGUAUUAUUCAGCCAGGUAAAGGAAUAAAAUAAUGUCUUUUGCAGCAACUUGGGUGGAACUGGAGGCCAACAUUCUAAGAAAAGUAUCUCAGGAACUUUAGAACACAUAUACCCCCUAGGUGUAUAUUCAAGAGAAAGGCAGACAUGUGUUCAUGACAAACUAGAGCUGGAACAUUCACAGAGAUCCAACUCAAUAAGCCCAAAUGGAAAUUCACCCAAAUCCCCACCAGCCAUAGAAUGUGUUGUGUUUUUAAAAUGUGGCAGAAAAGUUUUUGCCACUCUCACCAUUGAUAUGUGGGGCCUAUGUGCCAUCCCAGUGAGUAUGGGUGGGCUGGUGACUUCUAAAACUAACAGGUGUAGGGAAGUGACUCAAUGUGACAUCAAAGUACGGGUCAUAAACAGCAUGAGGUCUGGUAUAAGAAACCUGAUUUUUGCGACAGCACCCUGCUGGAGGGGUCAUGUGUAGAGGCUCAGGAGAAAGUGUCCACAGAGCCAGCCUUCUGGCCAUGCCCACCAAAUUAGAUUGGCGCAUGUGAUGUACUACAGAGUGUCAAGAUGGGCAGGUCCCUUAGGACUCUACAGAACCAUAAUGAGAGAGAAAGCGAGAGGUGGGAGGAGAGAUCACGAAGUAUACUGCUGUUGCUUCCAUAGUAAAUAUUCACGUGCAUGUGUUUGUGGAUGAAUCCAGAUCCUGGAGUUCCGCUAGUGCUUAAUCACAGAAGUAGGAAGACGUCCGGCACGUGUGGACAAUAUCGGAGGGUACAGAUCCUCAAGAAUUUCUUCCCGUUGGAGGACUAGGUGAAAGGAAGCUGGUGUUGUGAUUGAAAUUUUCUGUGUAUUGUCGGUGAUACUCCGGGAACAAGGCCAGCUCAGGAAAGAAAACCGGAAUCUCAUUUUCCUCCUACAAAUGUUAUCACAAUUUGUAAGAUUUAUAAUUAGCGAUGAAUGCACACCGCUGGUGCAAAUUUGCCAGGAGACAUUAUUUUUUCAAAAAUAAUAUGUUAUCUUACCUUCUUAGAGUUCAGGACGGUCAUGCCGAGACGUUGCUGGAUGGAUGAGUAGAUUGCAGUAUCACUUGUGCUGGGAUGAGACGCUUCAUCUUGUCGAAGAAAUCUGUGAGCUUGUUUGGGAAGCCGUGCAUAUCCAACAUGUUGCAUGCAAAGGAAACUGUGGCCCUCAGUAGACACUUGAGCAUUUUUGCGAUCAGAAAUGAUGCAAUCAGCUUUAAGUCGACAAUUGUGUAUUCCGUUGCAAGCACCGUUGAUAGCUCUGGUAGGAAUUCCUCCGUCUUGUACAAGAUCAAGUCAGCCAGUUUAUGUAUGGCGAUGUUUGUGACCACGGCUGUUAUAAAGCAAAUAAGCGAGCGCAUAGAAAA